AGCGAACGCUGGCGGCGUGCUUAACACAUGCAAGUCGAACGCGCAGCAUUCUGUAGCAAUACAGGAUGUGGGCGCGUGGCGAACGGGUGCGUAACACGUGGAUAACCUUCCUUCAGGUGGGGAAUAACCCAGCGAAAGUUGGGCUAAUACCGCAUCACAUUACGAGGGCACAUGCUCUUGUACUCAAAGCCGCAAGGCGCCAGAAGAGGGAUCCGCGGCCGAUUAGCUAGUUGGCGAGGUAAUGGCUCACCAAGGCAAUGAUCGGUAGCCGGACUGAGAGGUUGGCCGGCCACACUGGAACUGAGACACGGUCCAGACUCCUACGGGAGGCAGCAGUGGGGAAUCUUGCGCAAUGGGCGAAAGCCUGACGCAGCAACGCCGCGUGGGGGAUGAAGCUUCUCGGAGUGUAAACCCCUUUCGACCCGGAAGAAUGCCCGCAAGGGUUUGACGGUACGGGUAUAAGAAGCCCCGGCUAACUACGUGCCAGCAGCCGCGGUAAUACGUAGGGGGCCAGCGUUGCUCGGAAUUACUGGGCGUAAAGGGUCCGUAGGCGGUGUGGCAAGUCGGGAGUGAAAUCUCUGGGCUUAACUCAGAGGCUGCUUCCGAAACUGCCGUGCUAGAGUGUGAGAGAGGCGAGUGGAAUUGCGGGUGUAGCGGUGAAAUGCGUAGAUAUCCGCAGGAACAUCCGAGGCGAAAGCGGCUCGCUGGAUCACAACUGACGCUGAGGGACGAAAGCUAGGGGAGCAAACAGGAUUAGAUACCCUGGUAGUCCUAGCCCUAAACCAUCAGGACUUGGGGUUUGCCCUGUACGGGGCAAGUCCUGUAGCUAACGCGUUAAGUCCUGCGCCUGGGGAGUACGGUCGCAAGACUGAAACUCAAAGGAAUUGACGGGGGCCCGCACAAGCGGUGGAACAUGUGGUUCAAUUCGACGCAACGCGAAGAACCUUACCUGGGCUUGAACCGCACAGGACCAUCUUUGGAAACAGAGACUUCCCGCAAGGGACCUGUGUAGAGGUGCUGCAUGGCUGUCGUCAGCUCGUGCCGUGAGGUGUUGGGUUAAGUCCCGCGACGAGCGCAACCCUUGCCCUGUGUUACCAGCGGAUCAUGCCGGGGACUCAUGGGGAACUGCCGGUGAUAAACCGGAGGAAGGUGGGGAUGACGUCAAGUCAUCAUGGCCCUUACGCCCAGGGCUACACACGUGCUACAAUGGCCGAUACAAAGGGCUGCAAACUCGCGAGAGUGAGCCAAUCCCAUAAAGUCGGUCUAAGUUCGGAUUGCAGUCUGUAACUCGACUGCAUGAAGUCGGAAUCGCUAGUAAUCGUGGAUCAGCAACGCCACGGUGAAUACGUUCCCGGGCCUUGUACACACCGCCCGUCACGCCAUGGAAGCCGGGAGUGCCCGAAGUCCGUGCCCCAACCUCAGGGAGGGAGCGGCCGAAGGCAAGUUCGGUGACUGGGGCGAAG
rnacentral:rRNA from 1 species